ensembl:lncRNA
AAGUGGUGAAAAGAAAGGGGUUGAACGAUCCCUUCUCUCUGGCUACCCUAGAGGAUUCAGGAGCCCUGGAAAAACAUGGCAGCUGGAGCAGAGCAGGGAGUGGAUCAGUCACACAGGUACAGCAGCCAUGGGGUAGCUAGCAAAGGACCAGCGUUCAGCGAGGAGCAUGAGCGGCAGUACGCUGAAGUAGGAGCACUGGCUCUUGUAAAAACUCUGCGGACUAGGGGGCUAGUAAAGAGGGAGAGAUGCCCAGAGAGCAUACAGCUGUUUCGGUCGAGCGAGAGAGAGUUCUCCGGCGGCUGAAGAGUGGUUCUUGAAUCGGACAGAUGAUGUUCCAUCCUCUUUUCUGCCAAUCACCCAAAGAUGAGGACAACACCCAAACUGGCACGUAAGUAGCAUUGCAGUCUAGAGUGCGCGAAUGCAGUGCACAGCAGUGUGAGAGUAUCGCAUUAUGAGCUUCAGUGGUUCGUGGGUUCUUUUUCCAUUGAUGUAUCGGACAUAAUUUAAAGCUUGCUCAACACCCGCAAACAUUAGAUUUUAAGUAGAUUUAGAUAGAUCUAUUAUAGCCUAACAAUCCAAAGUGUAAGUGUUUUUUGGUUUGUUUCUUUUGUAGGCUGCUGGCUAUGUUUUGUUUUUGUAGACUGGUUUAGAAUGUUCCAAUUAUAUUUUGGGGACAUUUUGUUAGAUUUAUGAAAUUCUCCUUAUUUCUCAGCAGAAGUAAUGUUUAGCCCAAACACUGCUCUCAACAUUUUCAAUAUUGUUUCAUUUGGAUAUGAACUAUUCUGGCGAACUUGCUGAGAUUAGGCUGUCAAUCAUAAAUAGGCCUAUUGAA